UACGUAGGUGGCGAGCGUUGUUCGGAAUUACUAGGCGUAAAGGGCGCGUAGGUGGGAGGGUAAAUCACAUGUAAAAGCUCCGAGCUUAACUUGGAGAGGUCUUGUGAAAUUGCCUUUCUUGAGUGUGGGAGAGGGAACUGGAAUUUCUGGUGUAGCGGUGAGAUGCGUAGAGAUCAGAAGGAAUACCAAUGGCGAAGGCAGGUUCCUGGCCCAAUACUGACACUGAAGCGCAAAAGCUAGGGGAG
rnacentral:rRNA from 1 species